rnacentral:rRNA from 1 species
UGAGUAAUGCUUGGGAACUUGCCUUUGCGAGGGGGAUAACAGUUGGAAACGACUGCUAAUACCGCAUAAUGUCUACGGACCAAACGGGGCUUAGGCUUCGGCGCAGAGAGAGGCCCAAGUGAGAUUAGCUAGUUGGUGGGGUAAAGGCUCACCAAGGCGACGAUCUCUAGCUGUUCUGAGAGGAAGAUCAGCCACACUGGGACUGAGACACGGCCCAGACUCCUACGGGAGGCAGCAGUGGGGAAUAUUGCACAAUGGGGGGAACCCUGAUGCAGCCAUGCCGCGUGUGUGAAGAAGGCCUUCGGGUUGUAAAGCACUUUCAGUUGUGAGGAAAAGUGAGUAGUUAAUACCUGCUCACCGUGACGUUAACAACAGAAGAAGCACCGGCUAACUCCGUGCCAGCAGCCGCGGUAAUACGGAGGGUGCGAGCGUUAAUCGGAAUUACUGGGCGUAAAGCGCACGCAGGCGGUUUGUUAAGCUAGAUGUGAAAGCCCCGAGCUCAACUUGGGAUGGUCAUUUAGAACUGGCAGACUAGAGUCUUGGAGAGGGGAGUGGAAUUCCAGGUGUAGCGGUGAAAUGCGUAGAUAUCUGGAGGAACAUCAGUGGCGAAGGCGACUCCCUGGCCAAAGACUGACGCUCAUGUGCGAAAGUGUGGGUAGCGAACAGGAUUAGAUACCCUGGUAGUCCACACCGUAAACGCUGUCUACUAGCUGUUUGUGGCUUUAAGCCGUGAGUAGCGAAGCUAACGCGAUAAGUAGACCGCCUGGGGAGUACGGCCGCAAGGUUAAACUCAAUGAAUUGACGGGGGCCCGCACAAGCGGUGGA